CCUACGUGAGGCAGCAGUGAGGAAUAUUGGUCAAUGGGCGCGAGCCUGAACCAGCCAAGUAGCGUGAAGGAUGACUGCCCUACGGGUUGUAAACUUCUUUUAUAAAGGAAUAAAGUGAGGCACGUGUGCCUUUUUGUAUGUACUUUAUGAAUAAGGAUCGGCUAACUCCGUGCCAGCAGCCGCGGUAAUACGGCGGAUCCGAGCGUUAUCCGGAUUUAUUGGGUUUAAAGGGAGCGUAGAUGGGUUGUUAAGUCAGUUGUGAAAGUUUGCGGCUCAACCGUAAAAUUGCAAUUGAUACUGGCAGUCUUGAGUACAGUUGAGGUAGGCGGAAUUCGUGGUGUAGCGGUGAAAUGCUUAGAUAUCACGAAGAACUCCGAUUGCGAAGGCAGCUUACUAAACUGCCACUGACAUUGAUGCUCGAAAGUGUGGGUAUCAAACAGGAUUAGAUACCCUUGUAGUC
rnacentral:rRNA from 1 species